UGGGGAAUAUUGGACAAUGGGGGGAACCCUGAUCCAGCCAUGCCGCGUGUGUGAAGAAGGCCUUAUGGUUGUAAAGCACUUUAAGCGAGGAGGAGGGUACUGGUAUUAAUACUACCAGGUACUGGACGUUACUCGCAGAAUAAGCACCGGCUAACUCUGUGCCAGCAGCCGCGGUAAUACAGAGGGUGCGAGCGUUAAUCGGAUUUACUGGGCGUAAAGCGUGCGUAGGCGGCUAAUUGAGUCGGAUGUGAAAUCCCCGAGCUUAACUUGGGAAUUGCAUUCGAUACUGGUUAGCUAGAGUGUGGGAGAGGAUGGUAGAAUUCCAGGUGUAGCGGUGAGAUGCGUAGAGAUCUGGAGGAAUACCGAUGGCGAAGGCAGCCAUCUGGCCUAACACUGACGCUGAGGUACGAAAGAAUGGGGAGCAAACAGG
rnacentral:rRNA from 1 species